rnacentral:lncRNA from 1 species
CGUAUGUUCCAUCCAUCAUCAGGGAUGUAGCUUAUUGUUUCUAUUUCUUUCUCUUUAAGCAACCCGAGAGGUCCGACCAACUUUGGUUUUGAAGUCUUCACUAAAGACGGAUUUAAAGAUUGGAAGCAUGUAUCUCAAGGCUUGAAAGAUCAUAUUGGUUGUUAUGAAGUAUGCACAACUUAUGUAUCAAGCACUAUGAUGAUU